CCCUUAGAGUUUGAUCCUGGCUCAGGACGAACGCUGGCGGCGUGCCUAACACAUGCAAGUCGAACGAGUCCAGGCCUUCGGGCCUGAGGCGAGUGGCGGACGGGUGAGUAACACGUGAGCAAUCUAUCCUGUUGCGGGGGACAACGAGGGGAAACCUUCGCUAAUACCGCAUGGUCGAGAACCUCGAUGGGGUUUUCGGGAAACGUGGCCUCUUAGCAAUGCUACGGCGAUGGGAGGAGCUCGCGGGCUAUCAGCUUGUUGGUGAGGUCAUGGCUCACCAAGGCGACGACGGCUACGGGGUCUGAGAGGACGACCCCGCACAUUGGAACUGAGACACGGUCCAGACUCCUACGGGAGGCAGCAGUGGGGAAUAUUGGGCAAUGGCCGAAAGGCUGACCCAGCGACGCCGCGUGUGGGAGGAAGCCCUUCGGGGUGUAAACCACUGUCAGGAGGGACGAAAGAGUCGGGGGUGAAUAAUCCUCGGCAGUGACGGUACCUCCAAAGGAAGCACCGGCUAACUCUGUGCCAGCAGCCGCGGUAAUACAGAGGGUGCGAGCGUUGUUCGGAAUUACUGGGCGUAAAGCGCGCGCAGGCGGGUCCUGUAAGUCGGAAGUGAAAUUUCGGAGCUCAACUCCGAAGCUGCUUCUGAUACUGCGGAUCUGGAGAUCGGUAGAGGUCGGUGGAAUUACAGGUGUAGCGGUGGAAUGCGUAGAUAUCUGUAAGAACACCCGUGGCGAAGCGGCCGACUGGGCCGAAUCUGACGCUGAGCGCGAAAGCGUGGGGAGCAACAGAUAGAUACCUGGUAGUCACGCCGUAAACGAUGG
rnacentral:rRNA from 1 species